rnacentral:rRNA from 1 species
UUCGACCUGAGCUCAGGCAAGAUUACCCGCUGAACUUAAGCAUAUCAAUAAGCGGAGGAAA